UUUAAGCGAAAAUCCUGGCCUUUCCUUAUGAUCCCUUCGUCUUGUCUUCUUCAGAAACUAACUCUACCUACUCCUCCCGAUCUAGCCUGCAGUUCUUAUCAAAUUCGGACCACCACUUCUCUGAAAGCAUGGUUCCUGUCCCACUCCCCCCUUUGAGCAGUUUUUUUGAGUGAUUUCAUCCCUUGGGUAAGAAAGCCCCAAAAAAGGAGUGAGUUCCCGCAUGUCAUUUCUCUUAUGGGGCAAGUUCUAUCUUUAUGCCUG
rnacentral:lncRNA from 1 species